rnacentral:misc_RNA from 1 species
AUUAUUAAAUUAAAAAAAAAAACCAAUUAUGAGGGGAAAAGAAAUAAUUUGACAAAGAAAUACGAUGAAGUGGAUUGCACUUUCAAUCAAAACACUGCUGUCCUUUUCUAAUAUACUUUUAACCAUCAAACCUGAAAUGUUCUGUGUUACUCUAGAAACUAGUAAUCUGAAGGUGCUCAUAAGCAUAGCUACAACAAAGAAUUAGUCAGAAAAGAUGAAAGGCAUCAAAAUAAUGUUUGUAAACUAACAAUUACAGAGUUGAUGAGAUAAAGUGCCUCAGGAACAGUGCCACUUCAACAUAAUCGGCUCAUUUUUCAGUUCACAAUGACUAACAUGUUACAAUUGUACAACAACAUAUUUGACAGAGCCAAAUUUGAAAGGUUGUGACCUACAAGGAACUAUCUCUGUCAGUCAAAUAUUUUCAGAAUUAAAAUUUUAAAUUACAUUUGGCCAUGAGCCUAUCAGGGAGCAAGGGGAAGAAUUUGUGUGGAGUUGGAAAGAAUAUAAAGAAGAGAGUAAUUAAUGCAAUGGCAUCAGAAAGUAGCAGUUGUUUAGUGUCAUUCACCUAAGGAGAUGACAACAAAAACAUCA